rnacentral:rRNA from 1 species
GUGGGGAAUUUUGGACAAUGGGCGAAAGCCUGAUCCAGCCAUGCCGCGUGCAGGAUGAAGGCCUUCGGGUUGUAAACUGCUUUUGUACGGAACGAAAAGACUCCUUCUAAUAAAGGGGGUCCAUGACGGUACCGUAAGAAUAAGCACCGGCUAACUACGUGCCAGCAGCCGCGGUAAUACGUAGGGUGCAAGCGUUAAUCGGAAUUACUGGGCGUAAAGCGUGCGCAGGCGGUUAUAUAAGACAGAUGUGAAAUCCCCGGGCUCAACCUGGGAACUGCAUUUGUGACUGUAUAGCUAGAGUACGGUAGAGGGGGAUGGAAUUCCGCGUGUAGCAGUGAAAUGCGUAGAUAUGCGGAGGAACACCGAUGGCGAAGGCAAUCCCCUGGACCUGUACUGACGCUCAUGCACGAAAGCGUGGGGAGCAAACAGGAUUAGAUACCCCGGUAGUCC